rnacentral:rRNA from 1 species
AUUGAACGCUGGCGGCAGGCCUAACACAUGCAAGUCUAGCGAGCGGCGGACGGGUGAGUAAUGUAUGGGGACUGCCCGAUAGAGGGGGAUAACUACUGGAAACGGUGGCUAAUACCGCAUCCUAUCGGAUAACCCAUAUGGGAUUAGCUAGUAGGUGGGGUAAAGGCUCACCUAGGCGACGAUCUCUAGCUGGUCUGAGAGGAUGAUGAGCAACACUGGGACUGAGACACGGCCCAGAUGCCUAUGGAGGCAGCAGUGGGGAAUAUGGCACAAUGGGCGCAAGCCUGAUGCAGCAAGGCCGCGUGUAUGAAGAAGGCCUGAGGGUUGUAAAGUACUUUCAGCGUGGAGGCGUUACCCGCAGAAGAAGCACCGGCUAACUCCGUGCCAGCCGCCGCGGUAAUAC